rnacentral:rRNA from 1 species
AUGCUGACAUAAGUAACGAUAAAGCGGGUGAAAAGCCCGCUCGCCGGAAGACCAAGGGUUCCUGUCCAACGUUAAUCGGGGCAGGGUGAGUCGACCCCUAAGGCGAGGCCGAAAGGCGUAGUCGAUGGGAAACAGGUUAAUAUUCCUGUACUUGGUGUUACUGCGAAGGGGGGACGGAGAAGGCUAUGUUGGCCGGGCGACGGUUGUCCCGGUUUAAGCGUGUAGGCUGGUUUUCCAGGCAAAUCCGGAAAAUCAAGGCUGAGGCGUGAUGACGAGGCACUACGGUGCUGAAGCAACAAAUGCCCUGCUUCCAGGAAAAGCCUCUAAGCAUCAGGUAACAUCAAAUCGUACCCCAAACCGACACAGGUGGUCAGGUAGAGAAUACCAAGGCGCUUGAGAGAACUCGGGUGAAGGAACUAGGCAAAAUGGUGCCGUAACUUCGGGAGAAGGCACGC